rnacentral:rRNA from 1 species
UGAGCAAUCUGCCCUUCUCAUCGGAAUAAGCGUUGGAAACGACGUCUAAUGCCGAAUACGACCUCCUUUCGCAUGAUCGGAGGUGGAAAGCUCCGGCGGAGAAGGAUGAGCUCGCGGCCUAUCAGCUAGUUGGUGUGGGUAAUGGCCCACCAAGGCGACGACGGGUAGCCGGCCUGGAGAGGGUGACCGGCCACACUGGGACUGAGACACGGCCCAGACUCC